AUGAACGCUGGCGGCGUGCCUAAUACCUGCAAGUCGAGCGAACAGAUAAGGAGCUUGCUCCUUUGACGUUAGCGGCGGACGGGUGAGUAACACGUGGGUAACCUACCUAUAAGACUGGAAUAACUCCGGGAAACCGGGGCUAAUGCCGGAUAACAUUUAGAACCGCAUGGUUCUAAAGUGAAAGAUGGUUUUGCUAUCACUUAUAGAUGGACCCGCGCCGUAUUAGCUAGUUGGUAAGGUAACGGCUUACCAAGGCAACGAUACGUAGCCGACCUGAGAGGGUGAUCGGCCACACUGGAACUGAGACACGGUCCAGACUCCUACGGGAGGCAGCAGUAGGGAAUCUUCCGCAAUGGGCGAAAGCCUGACGGAGCAACGCCGCGUGAGUGAUGAAGGUCUUCGGAUCGUAAAACUCUGUUAUUAGGGAAGAACAAAUGUGUAAGUAACUGUGCACGUCUUGACGGUACCUAAUCAGAAAGCCACGGCUAACUACGUG
rnacentral:rRNA from 1 species